UACAGAGGUCCCAAGCGGUGUUCGGAUUCACUGGGCGGAAAGGGUGCGUAGGUGGUGGGGUAAGUCGGAUGUGAAAGCUCGGAGCUCAACUCCGAAAUGGCAUUGGAAACUACCCUGCUAGAGGAUUGGAGGGGGGACUGGAAUACUUGGUGUAGCAGUGAAAUGCGUAGAUAUCAAGUGGAACACCAGUGGCGAAGGCGAGUCCCUGGACAAUACCUGACACUGAGGCACGAAAGCUAGGGGAGCAAACAGG
rnacentral:rRNA from 1 species